rnacentral:tRNA from 1 species
GCUGUUAUGGCUCAGUCGGUAGAGCACGUCCUUGGUAAGGACGAGGUCCCGGGUUCGAAUCCCGGUAACAGCUCCA